GUCAUUUAUGGAAGGCGGACGUUCCGGUUUGGCCAUCUCUGCGAGGUCGUUGUUGUUUGGAGCUUCCCUGGGCAGUUUCCCAGCGUGUCCUUGGGCAGACGUCUUUCUGCCGUGAAGAGGGAAGAAGGUCACAGCAUGACCUGUCUGGCCAAAGCACUGGAUAUGCAGCAGAGCCCAGCCUGUGUGGCAGGAUGUUUCUGAGCGAGUCUCUGAAAGAGUGACAGGUUUUUCCAUGACAGUGGAUUUUCUGUAUCGUUUGACAGAGAGGAACGGAGAGGGAGAGGCACGGGAUGCAGAGGUGGAACCAUGGAUCCUCUGCUUUCUUCACAGCUUGAAGUGGCGAUGGCUGUGCCUACCUGAGAGGUGCGUGUGCCUUUCCUGGUGGCCAUGUGCAGACGACCGAGGUUGUUGUGAUGGAGGGACCGGUGCCUCGUUUUGGAGGGGCCCGUGCUCCUGCCGUCACCUGGCUAGCCUGGAGUGAUGUUUUGUGCUUGUGAUGCCACAGUGUCCCCUCAUGGUGUGGCUUCCUUGAGAACGAAGCUGUGACCGUGUGUGCUCUGUAUCGUCUGUCUGUGUAGCUUGUGCUUGUGGGGAGCUGACAUGUGUCCCAGAGGACCUGUGAGCACAGUGUCGAUUGUGAGUGAAUUGUGUCCUUUCUUAUGUUUUCAGUGAGCACAUGAGCGUAUACACACACAUACACACCUACCCAUAUACAGUGUAUUGGUUGGGUGGGUUGUCAAGAUCAUUGUUUUACUUCAAGGAUGGGAGAGAGAUGUAGAAGACAGGGACCGGGAGACUAUUGUGUGGCGCCCAUGGAGUUGUGUGUUUAUAGCAUUUCUUUGUAAGUGUGGGUCUUGAGUCCGAAUGGAGGGGUUGGUUGGCUCCUCUAUGUGUGUUGCUGUUUAUGAGACUUGGAGUUGCAAGCAGUACACUUUCCCCUGCACUGCAUCUCCCAUGAGGUGCUCCAUGGUGUGUCCCCA